AGUGAACGCUGGCGGCAGGCCUAACACAUGCAAGUCGAGCGGCAGCGCGGGGGCAACCCUGGCGGCGAGCGGCGGACGGGUGAGGAAUUCGUCGGAAUCUGCCUUUUUGUGGGGGAUAACGUAGGGAAACUUACGCUAUUACGGCCUACUUCCACCGGCGGAAGCUGGGGGCCGGAAGGCCUCUCGCCGAAAGUAGGGCCGGACGCCCGAUUAGCUAGUUGGUGGGUUAAGGGCCCACCAAGCCGAGAUUCGGUAGCUGGUCGGAGGGGAUGUUCGGCCGCACUGGGACUGAGACACGGCCCAGACGCCUACGGGAGGCAGCAGUGGGGAAUAUUGGACAAUGGGCGCAAGCCUGAUCCAGCCAUGCCGCGUGUGUGAAGAAGGCCUUCGGGUUGUAAAGCACUUUUGUCCGGAAAGAAAUCCCUGGAGCUAAUACCUUCGGGGGAUGACGGUACCGGAAGAAGAAGCACCGGCUAACUUCGUG
rnacentral:rRNA from 1 species